rnacentral:tRNA from 1 species
CAGGGGGUAAUUGAUAUACAAUUUUAACUUUGGGAGUUAAAAGACUCCACUUGGAGUCCCCUGA